CCCGCACAAGCGGUGGAGUAUGUGGUUUAAUUCGAUGCAACGCGAAGAACCUUACCUGGUCUUGACAUCCCGGAGACCCUUAGGAAACUAGGGGGUGCUUCCAUCUGGAAGAAUCUGGAGACAGGUGCUGCAUGGCUGUCGUCAGCUCGUGUCGUGAGAUGUUGGGUUAAGUCCCGCAACGAGCGCAACCCUUGCCUUUAGUUGCCAGCAGUUCGGCUGGGCACUCUAAAGGGACUGCCGGUGUUAAACCGGAGGAAGGUGGGGAUGACGUCAAGUCCUCAUGGCCUUUAUGACCAGGGCUACACACGUACUACAAUGGCCGAUACAAAGGGCAGCGACACUGCGAGGUGAAGCCAAUCCCGUAAAAUCGGUCUCAGUCCGGAUUGGAGUCUGCAACUCGACUCCAUGAAGUUGGAAUCGCUAGUAAUCGUGGAUCAGCAUGCCGGGGUGAAUACGUUCCCGGGCCUU
rnacentral:rRNA from 1 species